rnacentral:rRNA from 1 species
UACGAAGGGGGCUAGCGUUGCUCGGAAUCACUGGGCGUAAAGGGCGCGUAGGCGGCGUUUUAAGUCGGGGGUGAAAGCCUGUGGCUCAACCACAGAAUGGCCUUCGAUACUGGGACGCUUGAGUCUGGUAGAGGUUGGUGGAACUGCGAGUGUAGAGGUGAAAUUCGUAGAUAUUCGCAAGAACACCAGUGGCGAAGGCGGCUCACUGGCCCGGAACUGACGCUGAGGCACGAAAGCGUGGGGAGCAAACAGG